AUUGCUUCUUGGCCUUUUGGCUAAGAUCAAGUGUAAAAAAUUCCAAUCUACAUUAUAUUUACACUACUUUAUUAACAGAGAUUAGCACCUAACAGCUAGCUUCCUGAUCCUGAUUCAGUACGGAAGGAAACAGUGAAAAUUGUCAAACCAU
rnacentral:snRNA from 1 species